AGUAAACUUUUUUGUAGCCUUGGAAGCUUUACCCAUUUCCCCGAGAAAACAAAAACACCAGUUCAAUUGCAGAUGAACGUAGUAGUAAAUUCACUUCGCUGUAAAUGUGUGAGAAAUUCAGGUUGAGUAACACGGGUAACAGUGCAAGGAUUUCUCAAAAAUUAGCAGCUUUUAUGGUAUUUGAAAAGUGAAUUGGAAUAUUUUGACUGUAGGAUUAAAAAUAUGUGCUCCUUCAAGCAGCUGAUCA